UGCUGUAGUUUAACUCUAGUUAGGGUUUUCAAACAAACUCUUUCCUGUUUUUUCUUCAACACCAUCAUACAAUUUGGUUAGUAUUUGAAUCAGACCCGUUCUCAAAUUAUUUCUGUUUCUUCAUUUCUGUAUCUUCCUCUAAUGUUCAGAUUGGUAUGGGACAAGAUGCCCUUGGAAAAAGGUGCCUGCCACCGGUAUUUGACGAUGCUGCGGGAAAGGCAAACAACUCGAGCGAAUCUCGCCCAAUUGGUACUGGAAUAGUUCAAAAAUCCAUAGAGUUACAUCCGGGACUAUUCACGGAUGACAGUUUAAGCUUGGGUGGUUUUGUGAAAGCAAAAGGGCAAGUGAUUAAUCAUUACUUUGCUGCAUUGCGUAGAGUGAGUUCCAUUCUCAUAUUUUUUACAACUAAGAUAAUAUUACAUAUUGAUUUAAAGUUAGUUUACGGUAAAGGAAACCUGAAGUUGUUUCAAAAAUGAACUGCAGCCCCCAAAUAUGACUUGUCGUGUUCAGUCAAUUGGCAGAAUAUGCCAGAAAUUCGAUGAAAGGAGAAAAAGAUGGGUUUGUGAUAUGGGGUUUGGGGGGCUGCUACAUUUUGCUUCCCAUAUGCACUUACCCCGUCAAUUAGCAUAUUGGAUUAUGACUCGUAUUGAUCCUAUUAAUAGGUGUUUAAUAGGCACAAAUGGUCGUUCGAUUUACUUUUCGAAGAACCAAGUGCAUUGGAUUUUAGGAAUUCCUAAUGGGGAGAAACCAGUCCCUACAUCCAAGGAAAUGUCUGGUGUAGUUAGGAUGAAGGCCAAAAAAUAUUGUUAAAGUAUGGGAGGGCGUGGAAGACAAAAGCUAAUAAACAUGGGUCUAGGACAUAUACUUCAGUUGGCAUUCCUGUUACUGGGAUCAUGAUGGAUAGAUUGGAGGGACAUUUUGAUCCAGAUGAAGAAGAAGAAUUUAAAACCUUGUUCCUAAUCAUUUCUCUACAUAUGAUUAUGUGUCCAACACAAUCCCCAAGACUGUCAACUGAUUUGCUUCCGGCAUUGAGUUGUUGUAUGGAUAGCCAAAACUAUGAUUGGUGUGAAUUGGUAUUGAACAAAUUUCUGGAGAGUGUCUCAAAUUUUGCUCGGCGGUUUUAUGCUAAUGGAUUUGCAGGUGGUAGAGGUGGUUGUUCAAUUUUUGCAGUUGUGAUAUUUUCUAUUUGGAUCGACUAAAAUUAGCUUGGAUCCCAAUGCGUGGGAUACAUAUCCUCGAGUGAAGGCAUGGAGCAUGCAGAGAAUUGGGUAUUCAUGCAAGCUUGACCGAACUUAUUCCGGUGACUAUGGAAAACUAGGGGUUAUAGAUGUGGCUUAUGGUGAAAGACAUCCUAAGGUAGCACGGGACACAUCUGGACCACCUCAAUGUCCAACUUAUGAUGAUGUUUCGGCCCAUGUUCCCAGUAGUAGUAGAGGUAGGCGUAGACGGGCGGAUUACAUGGGUUACGUUGGGGUUCGAAGUACGUGUACGAUGAUACCACCCCCACCAAACAGGUGAAGAAUCAACAUACGAAGAAGGUGCAGAUUAAUGAAAGUUAUACAAGGUCGUUAUGCAAUGAAAUACUGUUUUCAUGUUUUAGCAUGUCAUAUCAACUGGAGAUAGACGCACACAUCUGAUUGAUAUAGAUACCUGUAGACUUGUAGUAACUAGUAAGAUUCAAUUGUUAACAAGUCCCUAAAAGCAAUGUAGCUGGUGAUUACCUAUACAUAGUGUCCCUAUACUUGUGUAUACGAAGAUUAGUACUAUGAACAUAUGAAAAAUGUUAACUUAAAUAGGUAAUCUUGUAGUGAUGCUUGAAUUGGAUUUUAAUUUAUUGCCAAUAUUAUUUAUUAAAGUUUAGAACAUGAGAUUUCAGUCUUUUUUUUAAAAUUUAUUAUGAUAGACAACCAAUAUAUAAUUUGUACACAUCUUACAAGGUCAUAUGACAAGGAUAAUCUAUAAAAUGACACUAAUUUCAAAUAUUAUUCUUAGGGUCUGUUCUCAUUGACUGAACUCG